rnacentral:tRNA from 1 species
GGCCCUAUAGCUCAACUAGGUUAGAGCAACCGACUCAUAAUCGGUAGGUUACAGGUUCGAGCCCUGUUGGGGUCACCA